GUAGUCUCGCACAGAUGCAUAUCAAUAAGCGGAGGAAAAGAAACUAACAAGGAUUCCCCUAGUAACGGCGAGUGAAGCGGGAAGAGCUCAAAUUUGAAAUCUUAAAGGGUUUCCCUUUACGAAUUGUAGUUUAAAGAAGUGUUUUCUGUUGAGGUUUUGGUAAAAGUUCUUUGGAAUAGGACAUCAUAGAGGGUGAGAAUCCCGUAUUUGACCUUUACUUUCAACUUUGUGAUACACUUUCAAAGAGUCGGAUUGUUUGGGAAUGCAGUCCAAAAUGGGUGGUAAGUUUCAUCUAAAGCUAAAUAUUGGCGAGAGACCGAUAGCGAACAAGUACCGUGAGGGAAAGAUGAAAAGAACUUUGAAAAGAGAGUUAAACAGUACGUGAAAUUGUCAAAAGGGAAGCGCUUGACACCAGUGUUGUUUUUCUGUAAAUCAAUUAAAGAACUGUUUAUGCUAAGUUGUUUAGACUUUAUCAGCUAACUGUUUAGUUUUGAGCUUUUCUUUAAUGCACUUUUCAGUUAACAAGUCAACAUCAAUUUCUUUUGCUGUAAAAAAGCUUGAGGAAGGUGGCUUGAGAUUCGUCUUAAGUGUUUAUAGCCUCUUGCCUAUGCAGUCGGAGAGAUUGAGGUCUGCAGCGUAGAUCCUUCGGGGCUAAAUGCAUUUUGUGCUAAGUUAUAGCAUUUUAUAGACAACUUGUCGACUAUGAUUUGUCUUGUAGCUUACUCGCUUAUGUUAUUUUACCUACGCUUAGGAUGUUGACGCAUGAGAUAUACGC
rnacentral:rRNA from 1 species